UUGGACCUGAUAUCAGGUAAGAUU
rnacentral:rRNA from 1 species